rnacentral:rRNA from 1 species
GACGAACCGAGCGAACGUUGUUCGGAAUCACUGGGCUUAAAGGGCGCGUAGGCGGGCUGCCAAGUUUGGGGUGAAAUCCUCCCGGCUCAACCGGAGCAGUGCCUCGAAUACUGGCGGUCUCGAGGGAGGUAGGGGCGUGCGGAACUGUGGGUGGAGCGGUGAAAUGCGUUGAUAUCCACAGGAACUCCGGUGGCGAAGGCGGUGUCCUGGGCCGAUCCUGACGCUGAGGAGCGAAAGCUGGGGGGAGCAAACAGG